rnacentral:rRNA from 1 species
UCGGGAAUAUUGCGCAAUGGAGGAAACUCUGACGCAGUGACGCCGCGUGCAGGAAGAAGGUUUUCGGAUUGUAAACUGCUUUAGACAGGGAAGAAACAAGACAGUACCUGUAGAAUAAGCUCCGGCUAACUACGUGCCAGCAGCCGCGGUAAUACGUAGGGAGCAAGCGUUAUCCGGAUUUAUUGGGUGUAAAGGGUGCGUAGACGGGAAGGCAAGUUGGUUGUGAAAUCCCUCGGCUUAACUGAGGAACUGCAACCAAAACUAUCUUUCUUGAGUGCUGGAGAGGAAAGUGGAAUUCCUAGU